UACGUAGGGUGCGAGCGUUAAUCGGAAUUACUGGGCGUAAAGCGUGCGUAGGCGGUUCGCUGUGUCCGAUGUGAAAGCCCCGGGCUUAACCUGGGAAUGGCAUUGGAAACUGGCGGGCUUGAGUGUGGCAGAGGGGGGUGGAAUUCCGCGUGUAGCAGUGAAAUGCGUAGAGAUGCGGAGGAACACCGAUGGCGAAGGCAGCCCCCUGGGUUAACACUGACGCUCAGGCACGAAAGCGUGGGAGCAAA
rnacentral:rRNA from 1 species